GCUUACACAUGCAGUCGAACGAUGAACCUCCUUCGGGAGGGGAAGAGUGGCGAACGGGUGAGUAACACGUGGGCAAUCUGCCCUGCACUCUGGGAUAACUCCGGGAAACCGGAGCUAAUACCGGAUACGACCACCGCGGGCAUCCGUGGUGGUGGAAAGCUCCGGCGGUGCAGGAUGAGCCCGCGGCCUAUCAGCUGGUUGGUGGGGUGACGGCCCACCAAGGCGACGACGGGUAGCCGGCCUGAGAGGGCGACCGGCCACACUGGGACUGAGACACGGCCCAGACUCCUACGGGAGGCAGCAGUGGGGAAUAUUGCACAAUGGGCGCAAGCCUGAUGCAGCGACGCCGCGUGAGGGAUGACGGCCUUCGGGUUGUAAACCUCUUUCAGCAGGGAAGAAGCGCGAGUGACGGUACCUGCAGAAGAAGCACCGGCUAACUACGUGCCAGCAGCCGCGGUAAUACGUAGGGUGCGAGCGUUGUCCGGAAUUAUUGGGCGUAAAGAGCUCGUAGGCGGCCUGUCGCGUCGGAUGUGAAAGCCCGGGGCUUAACCCCGGGUCUGCAUUCGAUACGGGCAGGCUAGAGUUCGGUAGGGGAGAUCGGAAUUCCUGGUGUAGCGGUGAAAUGCGCAGAUAUCAGGAGGAACACCGGUGGCGAAGGCGGAUCUCUGGGCCGAUACUGACGCUGAGGAGCGAAAGCGUGGGGAGCGAACAGGAUUAGAUACCCUGGUAGUCCACGCCGUAAACGUUGGGCACUAGGUGUGGGCGGCAUUCCACGUCGUCCGUGCCGCAG
rnacentral:rRNA from 1 species